rnacentral:rRNA from 1 species
GACGAACGCUGGCGGCGUGCUUAACACAUGCAAGUCGAACGGAAAGGCCCUGCUUUUGUGGGGUUCUCGAGUGGCGAACGGGUGAGUAACACGUGAGUAACCUGCCCUUGACUUUGGGAUAACUUCAGGAAACUGGGGCUCAUACCGCAUAUGAGCUCCUGCUGCAUGGUGGGGGUUGGAAAGUUUCGGCGGUUGGGGAUGGACUCGCGGCUUAUCCGCUUGUUGGUGGGGUAGUGGCUUACCAAGGCUUUGACGGGUAGCCGGCCUGAGAGGGUGACCGGCCACAUUGGGACUGAGAUACGGCCCAGACUCCUACGGGAGGCAGCAGUGGGGAAUAUUGCACAAUGGGCGGAAGCCUGAUGCAGCAACGCCGCGUGCGGGAUGACGGCCUUCGGGUUGUAAACCGCUUUCGCCUGUGACGAAGCGUGAGUGACGGUAAUGGGUAAAGAAGCACCGGCUAACUACGUG